GGGUGACUUUUUAAUUUGGAGAUUUUUAUUCUCUUAAGUUUUUUUUCCUUGUUGAAUAACUUCAUUUUAAUAAUUUUUCCCAAGUCAUGCUUUGCUUUACAACCUAACCAUCCACAAGCAUUGUCAAGCCUUGGCAGCAUAUACAUGGAUUGCAACAUGAUGAGUGUUCCUGCAUCAUUCUAUAAGGCAACUUUAGCAGUUACAACAGGGAUAUCUGCGCCCUUCAACAACUUGACUAUUAUAUACAAGCAACAGAUACUAGGCAGCACCUACACAGCUACACUGCUAGUUCAACCUUUGCUUCCUGUGUGGAUAUUCAAUCAUGAGAAUUGCUGCUUUCU